GGACAGAGCCCGUGAAUCCGGGCGCGCGGAAUUCAGGACCGACGGGGCGGACGUUUUCGGACGUUCGCCGCGUCGAUUCGAUAUUUCCGUCGCCGACCCUCUUUACCGAGGGUGUCGGACGUCGCGACCCGUUCGCCGAGUCGAUGCUCAGGGACGCGUAUUCGGUUCGCCAGCGCGGCCGUUUCGGCGGUCGCGCGACGACCACGCGUUUCCGUUGUUUUCGACGCGGACGGUAGCUUUGCGCGCGGGUACUCGACGCGGCCCGUUCGUUCGGCGUCUCGUGCGUCGGACGGCGCUCGCGUCGACGCCGGUCAGCGACGA
rnacentral:rRNA from 1 species